UCCGGUUUGUCACCGGCAGUCUCCCUAGAGUGCCCUUGCGUAGCAACUAAUGGCAAGGGUUGCGCUCGUUGCGGGACUUAACCCAACAUCUCACGACACGAGCUGACGACAGCCAUACAGCACCUGUGUCUAGGUUCCCUUUCGGGCACCGCUGCAUCUCUGCAGCGUUCCUAGCAUGUCAAGGGUAGGUAAGGUUUUUCGCGUUGCAUCGAAUUAAACCACAUCAUCCACCGCUUGUGCGGGCCCCCGUCAAUUCCUUUGAGUUUCAGCCUUACGACCGUACUCCCCAGGCGGGGCACUUAAUGCGUUAGCUUCGGCACUGCAGGGGUCGAUACCCGCAACACCAAGUGCCCAUCGUUUACAGCCAGGACUAC
rnacentral:misc_RNA from 1 species